rnacentral:rRNA from 1 species
UUGCUCUCUGAUUCAGCGGCGGACGGGUGAGUAAUGCCUAGGAAUCUGCCUGAUAGUGGGGGACAACGUUUCGAAAGGAACGCUAAUACCGCAUACGUCCUACGGGAGAAAGCAGGGGACCUUCGGGCCUUGCGCUAUCAGAUGAGCCUAGGUCGGAUUAGCUAGUUGGUGAGGUAACGGCUCACCAAGGCGACGAUCCGUAACUGGUCUGAGAGGAUGAUCAGUCACACUGGAACUGAGACACGGUCCAGACUCCUACGGGAGGCAGCAGUGGGGAAUAUUGGACAAUGGGCGAAAGCCUGAUCCAGCCAUGCCGCGUGUGUGAAGAAGGUCUUCGGAUUGUAAAGCACUUUAAGUUGGGAGGAAGGGCAUUAACCUAAUACGUUAGUGUUUUGACGUUACCGACAGAAUAAGCACCGGCUAACUUCGUGCCAGCAGCCGCGGUAAUACGAAGGGUGCAAGCGUUAAUCGGAAUUACUGGGCGUAAAGCGCGCGUAGGUGGUUUGUUAAGUUGAAUGUGAAAGCCCCGGGCUCAACCUGGGAACUGCAUCCAAAACUGGCAAGCUAGAGUAUGACAGAGGGUGGUGGAAUUUCCUGUGU